CCUACGGGCGGCAGCAGUGAGGAAUAUUGGUCAAUGGACGAGAGUCUGAACCAGCCAAGUAGCGUGAAGGAUGACUGCCCUAUGGGUUGUAAACUUCUUUUAUAUGGGAAUAAAAUGUUCCACGUGUGGGAUUUUGUAUGUACCAUAUAAAUAAGGAUCGGCUAACUCCGUGCCAGCAGCCGCGGUAAUACGGAGGAUCCGAGCGUUAUCCGGAUUUAUUGGGUUUAAAGGGAGCGUAGGUGGAUUGUUAAGUCAGUUGUGAAAGUUUGCGGCUCAACCGUAAAAUUGCAGUUGAAACUGGCAGUCGUGAGUACAGUAGAGGUGGGCGGAAUUCGUGGUGUAGCGGUGAAAUGCUUAGAUAUCACGAAGAACUCCGAUUGCGAAGGCAGCUCACUGGACUGCAACUGACACUGAGGCUCGAAAGUGUGGGUAUCAAACAGGAUUAGAUACCCCUGUAGUC
rnacentral:rRNA from 1 species